AGAGUUUGAUCAUGGCUCAGGAUGAACGCUAGCUACAGGCCUAACACAUGCAAGUCGAGGGGAAACGACAUCGAAAGCUUGCUUUUGAUGGGCGUCGACCGGCGCACGGGUGAGUAACGCGUAUCCAACCUGCCCACCACUUGGGGAUAACCUUGCGAAAGUAAGACUAAUACCCAAUGAUAUCUCUAGAAGACAUCUGAAAGAGAUUAAAGAUUUAUCGGUGAUGGAUGGGGAUGCGUCUGAUUAGCUUGUUGGCGGGGUAACGGCCACCAAGGCUACGAUCAGGUAGGGGUUCUGAGAGGAACGGUCCCCCANAUUGGAACUGAGACACGGUCCAAACUCCUACGGGAGGCA
rnacentral:rRNA from 1 species